rnacentral:rRNA from 1 species
UACGAAGGGUGCAAGCGUUACUCGGAAUUACUGGGCGUAAAGCGUGCGUAGGCGGCUCGUUAAGUCUGUCGUGAAAGCCCUGGGCUCAACCUGGGAAUUGCGAUGGAUACUGGCGAGCUAGAGUACGGUAGAGGAUGGUGGAAUUCCCGGUGUAGCGGUGAAAUGCGUAGAGAUCGGGAGGAACACCCGUGGCGAAGGCGGCCAUCUGGACCAGUACUGACGCUGGAGGCACGAAAGCGUGGGGAGCAAACAGG